rnacentral:misc_RNA from 1 species
GAUGAAGAACGCAGCGAAAUGCGAUAAGUAAUGUGAAUUGCAGAAUUCAGUGAAUCAUCGAAUCUUUGAACGCACAUUGCGCCCCCCAGUGUUCUGGCGGGCAUGCCUGUUCGAGCGUCAUUUCAACCAUCAAGCCCUGCUUGUGUUGGGGUCCUGCGGCUGCCCGCAGGCCCUGAAAACCAGUGGCGGGCUCGCUAGUCACACCGAGCGCAGUAGCACAUCUCGCUCAGGGCGUGCGGCGGGCUCCAGCCGUUAAAGCACCCACCUUUCGCAAGGUUGACCUCGGAUCAGGUAGGAAUACCCGCUGAACUUAAGCAUAUCAAUAAGCGGAGGA